rnacentral:rRNA from 1 species
UGGGGAAUAUUGCACAAUGGACGGAAGUCUGAUGCAGCAACGCCGCGUGCGGGAUGACGGCCUUCGGGUUGUAAACCGCUUUCACCAGGGGCGAAUUUGACGGUACCUGGAGAAGAAGCACCGGCUAACUACGUGCCAGCAGCCGCGGUGAUACGUAGGGUGCGAGCGUUGUCCGGAUUUAUUGGGCGUAAAGAGCUCGUAGGUGGUUUGUUGCGUCGGGAGUGAAAACACGCAGCUUAACUGUGUGCUUGCUUUCGAUACGGGCAGACUUGAGGGAUGUAGGGGAGAACGGAAUUCCUGGUGGAGCGGUGGAAUGCGCAGAUAUCAGGAGGAACACCGGUGGCGAAGGCGGUUCUCUGGACAUUUCCUGACGCUGAGGAGCGAAAGCGUGGGGAGCAAACAGG